CAAAACUGAGCAACAAACAACUGAACUGAACCUUGGAAUGUAUGAUUCCAUAUUUGAAGUUAUAGAUAGCGAUAGUAUUGACAAAAGAACUGUGCAAGUCUGAUACACAAUUUAUUUAUUUGUUGUAUGUUUAGUACAUUUUAUAGAUUUGUCACUGAUUGGUCUUAGGCUGCAAGACCUAAAAACAAAGUUACAUGAUGAUGGAGCAAUCUCAGUUCAGGACCUGUCUCAAAACCUGCAGCUACUGUUCCAGCAUGCCAGCCAGGAGAAACCUGGUCAGGUGGCAGAGGAUGCCACAGAGUGCACCGUGAGCCUGGUAGCCACCACGUUUGACAGGUAAACACUUUAAAGCCACAUGAAGCAAUGCAAGGUUAGGACCUGGGCCCGAAACACAUCAUCACAGACCUCUCAGUAUUGCAAAAGUCAGGUUUGUAAAUCAGUUGGCAGCCUGACUGACAGAAGCCCCCACUAUAAAGCAAUACUACUGAACCUGUUGUAAUGUCACCUGUUUUAAUAAAUAUGCUAAUCUGUAAUAAGGCCCCUGUCAAGUGUCACUGUUGUAACUAGUUACAUGGUGCUGUAACGUUUUGUAAUAUCUCUCGUAAUUUGAGAUAACUUGUCAUUUUAUGUAAUAAAUCAGGCAAUGACAAUACAGUACAUGUGCUGGCAGUUCUACAUUUUAUUUAUUUAUUUGUUUUUUUGCUUUUUAUUCAUCUGAGAUCAGUUGCAGCUGCUUUAAUUGCCUUUUCAGCUGACAAACCUUCAGCAAAGUAUACUGGUAGGCGAUGUAGCAGAUGCCUUCAAAUAGCUCAGUUUAUUCUUAACAUUGCUGUCCAUGGGGGCCAUAAAACCUCCCCAAACUGCCAUGCGUUGCCCCCUCUAUUUUGUUUGCUCUUGUACUUAUUUUGAAUACAAUGUGAAGUUUAAAAAAAAAAGUACCUGUUCGUUUUGGGGUCUGGUUAGAACACAAUGAUGCAUAGGUCUCUUGAGGAAGUUGGACACCCCUGAAUUAAAUGAACAAUAUAUCUCUGUGUUUUGAUGGCAGAUCUCUUUUAGCUGGCUGUCCAAUGUAGCACCAGUCAUUACCACCAGCAGGCAGGUGAUUAGGAGCGGCCUAAGGGUUCUGCUGCAGGACUUGAUAUUCUGAACUGUGCACAAGAUACACACUUUGGAAUAGAAAGGCAGUAGAGUGAACAAUGCAGCUAUGUAGUAUUGUAAACUAACAUCAUAUCUGACUUGUCAUAUAGGUGCCUGGGUUAGCUUGUGAAGGACAUUGGGCAGGUAGAGUGCAGUACGCAGCUGCUUUCAUAGGGUAGGUAAACCAACACUCACCCUUUUAUUUCUUCAGAGAGAGGCAAAUAAUAAAGGUUUUUCCACAUAGCUACCUAGAAGUUUACUACAGUAAUAAGAAGAGCAUACUAAAGCACAGCUAGGUAGGCUAUUGUAAAUUAUACAUGGUUUAGCAUGGAUAAAAAAAGUAGAAGGAAGCAAAUGUUACAUUAACUUGUAUUGCAGCUGUACCUUUAUAUAUAUGGUUAAAAUGAUACAAAUUCAAUUUGUUAUUGGUCUAAUAAUAUGCUCUUAUUCAAGUAAGUAUACUGGUAACACUUUAGGCAUCUCUUACACUGUAAGUUAUGUCUAUAAAAGUACAUUAUUGUCUGACUCCGAAUGUAUUUAUUUCAUCACUGUUGACUACAAUACAUUAAAUUUGGAGCCCCAGUUUCUUUUGUGGCUCUCCACCCUGUGCAAAGUAUCAGCCACGAAAGCUGUCACCCGUCAGUCAAGAUGUGACAUCUGCGAGGCGAGGCUAGGCGAGGCUGUCACAAAGAAGAAAACUCUGUUUAACAAGCUCUCUCCUAGGCAAUCUGAAAGUUUUCACUCAAACUGUACGGAAUAACUUGCCUUAUGCAGCAAAAGUAUUAUGUUUGCAUGAAGCAUAAUGGGAGCAUCAUCAGUGGCAAAGCACUGAUCUGUCCCAUCAAGAUCCCUGCCAUAGUCCUACAUGUAUCUCACACUGUGAUGCAGGAGUUCUGAUCCAGCCAGAGGAGAUCAUUAGGGAAGCAGAACCCAAAUAUCAGCCAAAGACUCCAAGGUAGAAACAGAAUUAUCCUGAGGAAAGUCAGGAUGACUCCUUCAGAAAAAGAUUUACACCACUCAAGAGCAUCUGCCAAGGACUUAGCGAGGACCAAACGGUGUCUACAUAAACUCAUCCCCUUUAGGGCAGGUCCAUAUUCUAAUGUGAAGCAAGAGCGGAUAGAAGCAGCAGGAUAUGUGGGAGAUUCCCUGUCUCAUCUUGUCAACAAAGUCGCUCUUACAACUCCGUACUGAUUGAUGGGGGAACAGUGCCACUUUCAUGACAGUCAGACA